rnacentral:rRNA from 1 species
UGGGGAAUAUUGCACAAUGGGCGAAAGCCUGAUGCAGCGACGCCGCGUGAGUGAUGAAGGCCUUCGGGUUGUAAAGCUCUGUCUUCUGGGACGAUAAUGACGGUACCAGAGGAGGAAGCCACGGCUAACUACGUGCCAGCAGCCGCGGUAAUACGUAGGUGGCAAGCGUUGUCCGGAUUUACUGGGCGUAAAGGAUGCGUAGGCGGAUACUUAAGUCAGAUGUGAAAAUCCCGGGCUUAACUUGGGAACUGCAUUUGAAACUGGGUAUCUAGAGUGCGGGAGAGGAAAGGGGAAUUCCUAGUGUAGCGGUGAAAUGCGUAGAGAUUAGGAAGAACACCAGUGGCGAAGGCGACUUUCUGGACCGUAACUGACGCUGAGGCAUGAAAGCGUGGGGAGCAAACA